rnacentral:rRNA from 1 species
UACGUAGGGGGCAAGCGUUGUCCGGAUUUAUUGGGCGUAAAGAGCGUGUAGGCGGUCAGGUAGGUCCGUUGUGAAAACUCGAGGCUCAACCUCGAGACGCCGAUGGAAACCAUCUGACUAGAGUCCGGAAGAGGAGAGUGGAAUUCCUGGUGUAGCGGUGAAAUGCGCAGAUAUCUGGAGGAACACCGGUGGCGAAGGCGGCUAUCUGGUCGAGUACUGACACUGAGACACGAAAGCAUGGGGAUCAAACAGG